rnacentral:rRNA from 1 species
AAUGGCAGGUCAGCAUACUGCCGUGAAUACGUUCCCGGGCCCUUGUACACACCGCCCGUCACACCAUGAGAGUUGGGAAUACCCGAAGCCUGUGAGCUAACAUUUAUGAGGCAGCAGUCGAAGGUAGAAUCAAUGAUUGGGGUGAAGUCGUAACAAGGUACC